CAGUGCGUUGGGUACAUUUACAGUACUUGUUGGUGUAAAGCAAGAAAAACGAACGCGUUAAGUCGUGUUUGUGACUUGAAGUAUAAAAGUUAGCCGUGUAAAUGGAAUUCAAAGCUCACGCGAUGUCAGACUCUGAUGACUCAGAUGGGCAGUAUGUUCCACUGUAUGCUCGAUUGCAAGCAUCAAAAGGUUCUACUGGUAGCAGUUGUGCAGACCCAAUCAGCGUAGAAUCUUCUUCAGAGGAUGAGAGUGAGGCUAGUCACAGACAGCCAUCAUCCUUCAGAAGCAAGGAGGCACACCAGAGUGCAUUCAGCUCUCACCAGACAUCACCUGCGCAGCUGGAUGACUCGCCAUUACACUCCCACCUCUCCCCGCCACUCCUGCAACAUACUCGGCCACACUCCCAACACUCACUGCAACAGCACAAACUUUCUCCACUCCAUCCACAGGACUAUCCGCCACACCACCUGCCACACUCCCAGCACUCUUCAGCACCCUCCCAGCCUGCGCCGACACACCCCCUGCAUUCUCCGCCACCGUCGGCACCGCCGCCGCCGAGGCGAUCGCGGC
rnacentral:lncRNA from 1 species